rnacentral:rRNA from 1 species
GAUGAACGCUAGCGGCAGGCCUAAUACAUGCAAGUCAAGGGGCCAGCAAUGGCACCGGCGGACGGGUGCGUAACGCGUACACAACGUACCUCUGACAGGGGGAUAGCAUUGGGAAACUGGUGGUAAUACCCCAUAGUAUUGCUGGGAGGCAUUUCUCGGCGAUUAAAGUUACGGCGGUCAGAGAUCGGUGUGCGUCCGAUUAGCUAGUUGGCGGGGUAACGGCCCACCAAGGCGACGAUCGGUAGGGGGUGUGAGAGCAUGACCCCCCACAUGGGUACUGAGACACGGACCCAACUCCUACGGGAGGCAGCAGUAAGGAAUAUUGGACAAUGGUCGGAAGACUGAUCCAGCCAUGCCGCGUGAAGGACGAAGGCGCUCAGCGUUGUAAACUUCUUUUGGAUGGGGAUAAUAACCUCGAUUUAUCGGGGCUUGAAGGUACCAUCAGAAUAAGCACCGGCUAACUCCGUG